AUUGAACGCUGGCGGCAUGCCUUACACAUGCAAGUCGAACGGCAGCACGGGUGCUUGCACCUGGUGGCGAGUGGCGAACGGGUGAGUAAUAAAUCGGAACAUGUCCUGUAGUGGGGGAUAGCCCGGCGAAAGCCGGAUUAAUACCGCAUACGAUCUACGGAUGAAAGCGGGGGACCUUCGGGCCUCGCGCUAUCGGGUUGGCCGAUGGCUGAUUAGCUAGUUGGUGGGGUAAAGGCCUACCAAGGCGACGAUCAGUAGCUGGUCUGAGAGGACGACCAGCCACACUGGGACUGAGACACGGCCCAGACUCCUACGGGAGGCAGCAGUGGGGAAUUUUGGACAAUGGGCGAAAGCCUGAUCCAGCAAUGCCGCGUGUGUGAAGAAGGCCUUCGGGUUGUAAAGCACUUUUGUCCGGAAAGAAAUCCUUGGCCCUAAUACGGUCGGGGGAUGACGGUACCGGAAGAAUAAGCACCGGCUAACUACGUG
rnacentral:rRNA from 1 species